UAAUUAAUAUUUAUUUAUUAUUAUGAAUUUAUUUAUUUUAUAAUUUAUUAAAAAUAAUUGUAUAAUUUAUUGUUUUAGUAAUUUUUAAUGAAAAAAUAAUAUUAAUAAUAGUUUAUUAAGUAUUGUGAAAGGUUAUUGAAAUAAAAUGAAAAAUUUUUAUUUUAUAAGAAAAUUUAAUUUAUUGUACCUUGUGUAUCAGGGUUUAUUAAAUAAUUAAUAAAUAUUUAUUUAUCUCGAUUUUAUAAGAGUUAAUAAUUUAAGAAAGUUAAUGUGUUAAAAUUAUUUUUAAUAAAUUAUUAGAAAUGAAAUGUUAUUCGUUUAUAAAGGUAUCUAGUUUUUUUAGAAAUAAAUUUAAUUUACAAAAUUUUAAUUUUUUUUUAUUUUAUUUAAUAAUGAUAAAAUUUAUUAUUUUGAAUAUUUUAAGGGAUAAGCUUUAAAAUAAAUUAUUAAAAAUUGAUAAUAUUAUUAUUAAAAAUGUAUGUGUAGAAUUAGCAGUCAUUUAUAAGUUUGUUAUAAAUUAUUUUAUUUAUUUAUUAUUUAAUUGUAUUUUAAUUUUAUAUAAAAAUUUUUAUUUUAAUAUAAUUUGUAAAUUAAUAUUGAUGAAAUUAGUAUAUAUUAUUGUUUAAAUAAUUUAAAUUGAUAAGUUUAGAUAAAGAAUUCGGCAAAUUUUAUACUCGCCUGUUUAACAAAAACAUGUCUUUUUGUAUUAUAUAAAAAGUCUAACCUGCCCACUGAAGUAUUUUAAAUGGCCGCAGUAUAUUAACUGUGCAAAGGUAGCAUAAUCAUUAGUCUUUUAAUUGAAGGCUUGUAUGAAUGGUUGGACGAAGUAUAAACUGUUUCAUUUGAAUUUAUUAUAGAAUUUUAUAUUUUAGUUAAAAAGCUAAAAUUAAUUUAAAAGACGAGAAGACCCUAUAAAUCUUUAUAUUUUUUAAUAAUUAAAUUUUAUUGAUUUAUUUUAUUUUUAUAUUAAAAAAUAUUUUGUUGGGGUGAUAUUAAAAUUUAAUAAACUUUUAAUUUAUUAAAUCAUUAAUUUAUGAAUUAUUGAUCCAUUAAUAAUGAUUAUAAGAUUAAGUUACUUUAGGGAUAACAGCGUAAUUUUUUUAGAGAGUUCAUAUCGAUAAAAAAGAUUGCGACCUCGAUGUUGGAUUAAGAGUUAUUUUAGGUGUAGCCGCUUGAAGAUAAAGUCUGUUCGACUUUUAAAUUCUUACAUGAUCUGAGUUCAGACCGGCGUAAGCCAGGUUGGUUUCUAUCUUUAAAAAAUGAUAAUAUUUUAGUACGAAAGGACCAAAUAUUUAAAUUAUAAAAUUUUUAUUAUUGAAUAUGAAUAAUAU
rnacentral:rRNA from 1 species